rnacentral:misc_RNA from 1 species
ACACCUCAACUCCUCAUGGUUUGCCAUGAUGAGCUUGGACUUUUGGAGGUUUUGCUGGCCCUGUGGUCGGCUCCUCUCAAAUGGAUCAGCUUGCCAGCGUUUGGUGGCGUCAUGGGUGUGAUAACUAUCUACGCUUGUGGCCGUCUGCCAGGUAACCUUCAGCAAUGGAGGUUCGCUGGAGCUCACAAAGGUCUUCCCUCAGCGAAGACAGCCUUUUGAAC